rnacentral:rRNA from 1 species
UACGUAGGUGGCAAGCGUUGUCCGGAAUUAUUGGGCGUAAAGGGCUCGUAGGCGGUUCGUCACGUCGGGAGUGAAAACUCGGAGCUUAACUCCGAGCCUGCUUCCGAUACGGGCAGACUAGAGGUAGGCAGGGGAGAGCGGAACUCCUGGUGUAGCGGUGGAAUGCGCAGAUAUCAGGAAGAACACCGGUGGCGAAGGCGGCUCUCUGGGCCUUACCUGACGCUGAGGAGCGAAAGCGUGGGUAGCGAACAGG